rnacentral:lncRNA from 1 species
CGAGAUCACUUUUGCUGUAGACCAGAACAAGGGUUUUCAGUAACACUGGAUGUGGUUCAAUUUUAGCAUCGUAUAUAUCUCUAGCAAGAUCGUGCAUCUUCUCGAUCUGCUUCCCAUUAGCGUACGCAUGAAGCAAGGAGCUAUAGGUCAUCUGAUUAGGCUUACACCUCCCAUUCAUCAUCUCAGCAAAUACCUUCUCUGACUGCUCCCACAGUCCCCCUCGUGCCAACGCUGCCAAAACAGCGUUGUAAGUGGAUAAAUCAGGAGUGACCCCCGCCUUCAACAUGAGCUUAUAUAUAGCCAUUGCCUGGUCGAAAGCUCCACACCUACUGUAAGCACUGAUCAACGUGUUAAAUGUGUCCCUCUCAGCCACAAAGCCCGAUCUCUUCAUCUCCUUGAACACCCCUGACACCUCCGUGUUCAUCCCGUUCUGCCCAAACACAGCCAAAAGAGUGUUCCAAGUAACAACAUCCGCCCUGCAUCCAGAAGCCUUCAUAUCAUCAAAAAUCUUCAUCAUCUCCGUAAACUUCCCACGAUUCCCAAACAUCUUGAUCAGAGCAUUGAAAGUGCAGAUAUUCGAACUGCAACCCACACCUUGCAUCUCCUCAAACACCUUCAUCGCAGAAUCAUCCUUCCCAGCCUUCUCAAAGCCUGACAACAACGUAGUAUAAGUGAACACAUCCGGCUUUAUCCCCUUCUCCAUCAUCUUAUCUUUCAGCUCCAUCGCCUCCUCCAACAAACCAUCCCUUGCACAAGCAGAUAUCAAUGAAUUGUAAGUCACAAUGCUCGGGGAGAAAUCAUUAACCUCCAUCUCUCUCAAAACCUUCAUGGCCUCCUCAGGUCUCCUGACUUUCCAUAAACAUCCAGCAGCGCGUUGUAGGUGACAUUAUCCGGUACAUACCCCGCCAUUUUCAUCUCCUCAAACAUGGCUUUAGCUUCCUCAUACAAAGACCCCCUCCGGCAACAACUUAUCACGGUGUUAUACGUGUAAGCAUCAGGAACAACACCCGAGCUCUUCAUACCAUCAAAAACCGCCAUGAUUUUAUGCCAAGGCAUCCCCAUUUUACCAUAAACAUUCAAAAUCACAUUAUAAGUUAUCAAAGUAGGCUUGCAACCCUCCUCCUCCAUCUUCUUGAACACCAUUACAGCUUCCCUAUAUCUCCCAUUUCGCACGAAAACAGUUAUCAACGAAGUGUAAGCAUACACAUCAAUCCCAUAUCCAUCUUUCUGCAAAUUAUGCAGCAAAGAGGCUGCAGCAGAAAUCCGACCAUCCUUCCCCAACAUACUAAUUACCACCGCCACAACAGACCCAUUAAUCAGUUUGUGAGAAUCCGUACGGCUCUUUAUCCAUUCGAAAACACUCAGAGCCAAGUCGCAUUUUUUAUGAUACCCUAAACCCUUAAUUAUGCCCAAUAAAUCAGAGAAAACAGCAUCUACAUAAUCCCCUGAAAGUUGAGAUUCUUCAAUUCUGUACCUAAGCAAAGCAGAUAGCUCUUGGUCGAGCUUGUCGGCAUCGAAUUGAGGAUGAAGGAGGGAGAGGAGAGUGCGCUCACCUAGAGAAGAGAGGCGGCGGUUGAGCCAGGGCUUGCCCUUGUGGGGUCACGGUGUUUGCCGAUACGACGCCGUGGUUGCUGGAGGGAGGAGGUGGUGGCGGGGUUUUGUUGGGGUGAGGAAAUCGUGGAGGAGAGGGGAUAAAUUGGGCGGGGGGAGAGGGAGGUCCGGCGGCGGAANCAAACUUAGGCGUGAUGCCACUCUCCUUCAUCAAGUCUAGAUCUCGUUUGCCUUGUCGAGCAUCUGCCUCCGGCCAUAUAUUGAAACCAUUGCAUCAGAGUAGGCACGUCGGGGAGAAGCCUUUCCUUCUUAGCUCAAGGAAGGCUUGCUCUGUUUCAUCUACGAGAUCACUUUUGCUGUAGACCAGAACAAGGGUUUUCAGUAACACUGGAUGUGGUUCAAUUUUAGCAUCGUAUAUAUCUCUAGCAAGAUCGUGCAUCUUCUCGAUCUGCUUCCCAUUAGCGUACGCAUGAAGCAAGGAGCUAUAGGUCAUCUGAUUAGGCUUACACCUCCCAUUCAUCAUCUCAGCAAAUACCUUCUCUGACUGCUCCCACAGUCCCCCUCGUGCCAACGCUGCCAAAACAGCGUUGUAAGUGGAUAAAUCAGGAGUGACCCCCGCCUUCAACAUGAG